rnacentral:rRNA from 1 species
AUUUUAUGGAGAGUUUGAUCCUGGCUCAGGACGAACGCUGGCGGCAUGCCUCACACAUGCAAGUCGAACGGGGUUAGGUUGAGAGCUUGCUUUUGACCUAACCUAGUGGCGGACGGGUGAGUAACGCG